rnacentral:rRNA from 1 species
UACGGAGGGUGCAAGCGUUAUCCGGAUUUAUUGGGUUUAAAGGGUCCGUAGGCGGCUCUGUAAGUCAGUGGUGAAAUCUCACAGCUUAACUGUGAAACUGCCAUUGAUACUGCAGGUCUUGAGUGUUAUUGAAGUAGCUGGAAUAAGUAGUGUAGCGGUGAAGUGCAUAGAUAUUACUUAGAACACCAAUGGCGAAGGCAGGUUACUAAGCAACAACUGACGCUGAUGGACGAAAGCGUGGGGAGCGAACAGG